AAGUCGUAACAAGGUUUCCGUAGGUGAACCUGCGGAAGGAUCAUUAUUGAAUAAACCUGGCUUGGUUGUUGCUGGUCUUUUCGGAGACAUGUGCACGCCUUGUCAUCUUUAUAUUUCCACCUGUGCACCCUUUGUAGACUUGAGGACAGAUUUCCGAGGCAACUCGGUCGUGAGGAAUUGCUUUAACCGGCUUUCCUUGAAUGUCUUCAAGCCUAUGUUUCAUAUACACCAUAAGAAUGUAACAGAAUGUCAUUAUUAGACUUAUGUCUUAUAAACUAUAUACAA
rnacentral:misc_RNA from 1 species